UGCAGUCGAAGCUUCUUUUUCACCGGAGCUUGCUCCACCGGAAAAAGAGGAGUGGCGAACGGGUGAGUAACACGUGGGUAACCUGCCCAUCAGAAGGGGAUAACACUUGGAAACAGGUGCUAAUACCGUAUAACACUAUUUUCCGCAUGGAAGAAAGUUGAAAGGCGCUUUUGCGUCACUGAUGGAUGGACCCGCGGUGCAUUAGCUAGUUGGUGAGGUAACGGCUCACCAAGGCAACGAUGCAUAGCCGACCUGAGAGGGUGAUCGGCCACACUGGGACUGAGACACGGCCCAGACUCCUACGGGAGGCAGCAGUAGGGAAUCUUCGGCAAUGGACGAAAGUCUGACCGAGCAACGCCGCGUGAGUGAAGAAGGUUUUCGGAUCGUAAAACUCUGUUGUUAGAGAAGAACAAGGAUGAGAGUAAAAUGUUCAUCCCUUGACGGUAUCUAACCAGAAAGCCACGGCUAACUACGUGCCAGCAGCCGCGGUAAUACGUAGGUGGCAAGCGUUGUCCGGAUUUAUUGGGCGUAAAGCGAGCGCAGGCGGUUUCUUAAGUCUGAUGUGAAAGCCCCCGGCUCAACCGGGGAGGGUCAUUGGAAACUGGGAGACUUGAGUGCAGAAGAGGAGAGUGGAAUUCCAUGUGUAGCGGUGAAAUGCGUAGAUAUAUGGAGGAACCCAGUGGCGAGGCGGCUCUCUGGUCUGUAAUGACGCUGAGCUCGAAGCGU
rnacentral:rRNA from 1 species